rnacentral:rRNA from 1 species
AGGGUUUGAUCAUGGCUCAGAACGAACGCUGGCGGCAGGCCUAACACAUGCAAGUCGAGCGCGCUCUUCAACUUCGGUUGUCUGAGUGAGCGGCGGACGGGUUAGUAACGCGUGGGAACGUACCCAAAGGUAGGGAACAACAGUUGGAAACGACUGCUAAUACCCUAUGUGCCCUACGGGGGAAAGAUUUAUCGCCUUUGGAUCGGCCCGCGUUGGAUUAGAUAGUUGGUGAGGUAACGGCUCACCAAGUCGGCGAUCCAUAGCUGGUUUGAGAGGAUGAUCAGCAACACUGGGACUGAGACACGGCCCAGACUCCUACGGGAGGCAGCAGUGGGGAAUCUUGGACAAUGGGGGCAACCCUGAUCCAGCCAUGCCGCGUGGACGAUGAAGGCCUUAGGGUUGUAAAGUCCUUUCACCGGUGAAGAUAAUGACGGUAGCCGGAGAAGAAGCCCCGGCUAACUCCGUGCCAGCAGCCGCGGUUAAUACGGAGGGGGGCUUAGCGUUGUUUCGGG